GCUAACUACGUGCCAGCAGCCGCGGUAAUACGUAGGUGGCAAGCGUUGUCCGGAAUCAUUGGGCGUAAAGAGCGCGUAGGUGGCUUGUCAGGUCUGAUGUGAAAACCUGGGGCUCAACUCCAGGCCUGCAUUAGAAACCGGCUUGCUAGAGUCUGGGAGAGGAGAGUGGAAUUCCUGGUGUAGCGGUGAAAUGCGUAGAUAUCAGGAGGAACACCGGUAGCGAAGGCGGCUCUCUGGAACAGUACUGACGCUGAGGCGCGAAAGCUAGGGGAGCGAACAGGAUUAGAUACCCCUGUAGUC
rnacentral:rRNA from 1 species